UAAUACAGAGGGUGCGAGCGUUAAUCGGAAUUACUGGGCGUAAAGGGCGCGUAGGUGGUUACUUAAGUCAGAUGUGAAAUCCCUGGGCUUAACCUAGGAAUUGCAUUUGGUACUGAGUGGCUAGAGUAUGGGAGAGGUAAGUGGAAUUUCCGGUGUAGCGGUGAAAUGCGUAGAUAUCGGAAGGAACACCAGUGGCGAAGGCGACUUACUGGCCCAUUACUGACACUGAGGCGCGAAAGCGUGGGGAGCGAACAGG
rnacentral:rRNA from 1 species